rnacentral:rRNA from 1 species
UACGUAGGGUGCAAGCGUUAAUCGGAAUUACUGGGCGUAAAGCGUGCGCAGGCGGUGAUGUAGGACAGGUGUGAAAUCCCCGGGCUUAACCUGGGAACUGCAUUUGUGACUGCAUCGCUGGAGUGCGGCAGAGGGGGAUGGAAUUCCGCGUGUAGCAGUGAAAUGCGUAGAUAUGCGGAGGAACACCGAUGGCGAAGGCAGCCCCCUGGGCUGACACUGACGCUCAGGCACGAAAGCGUGGGGAGCAAACAGG